AUACGGAGGACGCGAGCGUUAUCCGGAUUCAUUGGGUUUAAAGGGUGCGCAGGCGGCCGUGCAAGUCAGCGGUGAAAGCCCGGGGCUCAACCCCGGAAGUGCCGUUGAUACUGCAUGGCUGGAAUGCGGUCGAGGCGGGCGGGACGUGGCGGGGAGCGGGGGAAUGCGUAGAUAUGCCACAGAACGCCGAUGGCGGAGGCAGCUCGCCAGGCCUGCAUUGACGCUCGGGCAAGAAAGCGUGGGGAUCGAACAGGAUUAGAUACCCUGGUAGUCCACGCCGUAAACGAUGGGCGCUCGUCGUCGGCGGCAGACAGUCGGCGGCCAAGCGAAAGCGAUAAGCGCCCCACCUGGGGAGUACGGUCGCAAGGCUGAAACUCAAAUGAAUUGGCGGGG
rnacentral:rRNA from 1 species